rnacentral:lncRNA from 1 species
GAUGGUGAACUAUGCCUGAGCAGGGCGAAGAUCAGUGUUCUGUAUGAAGGCACUGAAGCUCCAUCUCCAUUCUCCAAAUUCCCAAGAAGGGAAACAUUUAAUAAGGGUUGUAAAUGAGACAGAUCAUCAAUGACAUAUAAAAUCAACUACAUAAAAAGUAGGUCUGUUUUCUCUAUAAUUGUAAUAUUACUAUUUUCCUACCAAAAUAGGAAAUUAAAAACAAAAAAAUGCUAUAAUUAUGGCAUAGUUCAUCUGGUGAUUGAUUAUAU